AUUGAACGCUGGCGGCAGGCCUAACACAUGCAAGUCGAACGAGUGGCGGACGGGUGAGUAAUGUCUGGGAAACCGCCCGAUGGAGGGGGAUAAAUACUGGAAACGGUCGCUAAUACCGCAUACCAUCCGAUUUGCCCCGAUGGGAUUAGCUAGUUGGUGGGGUAACGGCUCACCAGGGCAACGAUCCCUAGCUGGUCUGAGAGGAUGACCAGCCACACUGGAACGAAGACACGGUCCAGACUCCUACGAGAGGCAGAAGGGGGGAAUAUUGCACAAUGGGGUCAAGCCUGAUGCAGCCAUGCCGCGUGUAUAAAGAAGCCCUUCGGGUUGUAAGGUACGUUCAGCGGGGAGGCGUUACCCGCAGAAGAAGCACCGGCUAACUCCGUGCCAGCAGCCGCGGUAAUAC
rnacentral:rRNA from 1 species